AUUGAACGCUGGCGGCAUGCCUAACACAUGCAAGUCGAGCGGAUGAAGGGAGCUCUCUCCUGGAUUCAGCUGCGGACGGGCGAGUAAUGCCUACGAAUCUGCCUGGUAUAUGGGGAUAACGUCCGGAAACGGGCGCUAAUAUCGCAUCCGUCCUGAUGGUGAAAGUGGGGGUUCUUCGGACAUCACGCUUUCUGAUGAGCCUAGGUCGGAUUAGCUAGUUGGUGAGGUAAAGGCCUACCAAGGCGACGAUCCGUAGCUGAUCUGAGAGGAUGAUCAGUCACACUGGAACUGAGACACGGUCCAGACUCCUACGGGAGGCAGCAGUAGGGAAUCUUGGACAAUGGGCGAAAGCCUGAUCCAGCAAUGCCGCGUGUGUGAAGAAGGUCUUCGGAUUGUAAAGCUCUGUUAGUUGGGAAGAAGAGAAGUGAGUUAAACCGUUGCUGUUUUGACGUUACCAAAAGAAUAAGCCCCGGCUAACUUCGUG
rnacentral:rRNA from 1 species